rnacentral:rRNA from 1 species
AGAGUUUGAUCAUGGCUCAGAACGAACGCUGGCGGCAUGCUUAACACAUGCAAGUCGAAUGCUUCUAUGAGCUGACAGCUUUAAUCGAGCGUCUGAAUGGCGUUGGAUUAAAGUUGUCGGUGGUGCGCUGUUGGCUAAUGGCGCGCGAUAUUUGCGAGGAGAUAUAGAUGUUCUAUGGAGGGUCUUUUUUUUGGUCUGAAUAGAGCGUCAUGUCCUCCUCAAAAAGGAGCAUGGCAGACGGGUGAGUAAUGUAUGGGAACGUACCCUUUUGUUCGGAAUAACGUUUGGAAACGAACGAUAAUACCGGAUAAGUCCGAAAGGAGAAAGGUUUACUGCGAGAGGAGCGGCCCAUAUCGGAUUAGGUUGUUGGUGAGGUAAAGGCUCACCAAGCCUGUGAUCUGUAGCUGAUCUGAGAGGAUGAUCAGCCACACUGGGACUGAGACACGGCCCAGACUCCUACGGGAGGCAGCAGUGGGGAAUAUUGGACAAUGGGGGAAACCCUGAUCCAGCGAUGCCGCGUGAGUGAAGAAGGCCUUCGGGUUGUAAAGCUCUUUUAUCCGGGACGAUAAUGACGGUACCGGAAGAAUAAGCUCCGGCUAACUUCGUGCCAGCAGCCGCGGUAAUACGAAGGGAGCUAGCGUUGUUCGGAAUUACUGGGCGUAAAGGGUGCGUAGGUGGUUCUAUAAGUGAGGUGUGAAAGCCCCGGGCUCAACCUGGAAAUGCAUUUCAUACUGUAGGACUUGGUGUGCGAGAGGGGAAAGUGGAAUGGCGAGUGGAGCAGUGAAAUGCGUUGAUAUUCGUUGGAACACCAGAGGCGAAGGCGGCUUUCUGGCUCGUAACAGACAUUAAAGCACGAAAAGCGUGGGGAGCAAACAGGAUUAGAUACCCUGGUAGUCCACGCCCUAAACGAUGAGCGCUCGAUGUUGGAUGUUUUAGGCAUUCAGUAUCUUAGCUAACGCGUUAAGCGCUCCGCCUGGGGAGUACGGUCGCAAGACUAAAACUCAAAGGAAUUGACGGGGAUCCGCACAAGCGGUGGAGUAUGUGGUUUAAUUCGAGGCUACGCGAAGAACCUUACCAACCUUUGAAUGUGCAUUGUACCUUCUUGAAAGAGAGGGGUCAUUUAGUUGGAUGCAACACAGGUGCUGCAUGGCUGUCGUCAGUUCGUGUCGUGAGAUGUUGGGUUAAGUCCCGCAACGAACGCGACCCUCGUUGCUAGUUGCCAGCAAGUAAUGUUGGGCACUUUAGCGAUACUGCCGGUGACAAACCGGAGGAAGGUGGGGAUGAUGUCAAGUCAUCAUGGCCCUUAUAGGUUGGGCUACACACGUACUACAAUGGUCGUGACAGAGGGAAGCAAAGCUGCAAGGCUGAGCGAAUCCCUAAAAGCGACCUCAGUUCGGAUUGUCCUCUGCAACUCGAGGGCAUGAAGUCGGAAUCGCUAGUAAUCGCAGAUCAGCAGGCUGCGGUGAAUACGUUCUCGGAUCUUGUACACACUGCCCGUCACGCCAUGGGAGUUGGUUCGGCCUUAAGGAAGUGUUCUAACCCGCAAGGGAGGAAGCUUACUACGGUCGGGUCGAUGACUGGGGUGAAGUCGUAACAAGGUAACC